CUCGUCAGAGUGGUUAUGAUGUGUCUAUAUUAAUUUCAUAUCACAGCCAGCUUUGAUGAGCG
rnacentral:pre_miRNA from 1 species